rnacentral:rRNA from 1 species
AGAGUUUGAUCAUGGCUCAGGACGAACGCUGGCGGCGUGCCUAAUACAUGCAAGUCGAGCGGACAGAUGGGAGCUUGCUCCCUGAUGUUAGCGGCGGACGGGUGAGUAACACGUGGGUAAACCCUGCCUGUAAGACUGGGAUAACUCCGGGAAACCGGGGCUAAUACCGGAUGGUUGUUUGAACCGCAUGGUUCAGACAUAAAAGGUGGCUUCGGCUACCACUUACAGAUGGACCCGCGGCGCAUUAGCUAGUUGGUGAGGUAACGGCUCACCAAGGCGACGAUGCGUAGCCGACCUGAGAGGGUGAUCGGCCACACUGGGACUGAGACACGGCCCAGACUCCUACGGGAGGCAGCAGUAGGGAAUCUUCCGCAAUGGACGAAAGUCUGACGGAGCAACGCCGCGUGAGUGAUGAAGGUUUUCGGAUCGUAAAGCUCUGUUGUUAGGGAAGAACAAGUGCCGUUCAAAUAGGGCGGCACCUUGACGGUACCUAACCAGAAAGCCACGGCUAACUACGUGCCAGCAGCCGCGGUAAUACGUAGGUGGCAAGCGUUGUCCGGAAUUAUUGGGCGUAAAGGGCUCGCAGGCGGUUUCUUAAGUSUGAUGUGAAAGCCCCCGGCUCAACCGGGGAGGGUCAUUGGAAACUGGGGAACUUGAGUGCAGAAGAGGAGAGUGGAAUUCCACGUGUAGCGGUGAAAUGCGUAGAGAUGUGGAGGAACACCAGUGGCGAAGGCGACUCUCUGGUCUGUAACUGACGCUGAGGAGCGAAAGCGUGGGGAGCGAACAGGAUUAGAUACCCUGGUAGUCCACGCCGUAAACGAUGAGUGCUAAGUGUUAGGGGGUUUCCGCCCCUUAGUGCUGCAGCUAACGCAUUAAGCACUCCGCCUGGGGAGUACGGUCGCAAGACUGAAACUCAAAGGAAUUGACGGGGGCCCGCACAAG